rnacentral:lncRNA from 10 species
GUGUAGUGUUCCCACUUGAUCCCUCUGCCUCCACAUAGUUUAUCCUUUUUAUAUUUUCUAUUACUUUAAUACAUCUGUUAUAAGUGAUGUACCAAUAUUGAUGCCUCAGAGUCCACAGUUUACAUUAGGGCUGACUCUGUUAUACAAUCUGUGGGUUUUGGCAAAUGUAUAAUAACUGCUAUUCAUCAUAGCUGCAUCAUGUAGGAUGCUUUCCCUCACCUAAAUAUCCCCU